ACCCUUCAAAUUACAGUUAAAAAUCUUAAAAAGAAAAUAAAAAUAAGAAUCAUAUAUGCUAUAUGCAAAAGACCGCAACUUAACGCUUCCCCCUGUUCAGUUGCAUACCCUCCAAAAAGAUGCUUCCACAAAAGCUGCUACUGCAACAUUUCCAAACAACCCAUACCACCCAACCCCACCCUAACAAACAAAUACGCUGAACAUCAAAUUUCAUUCUCUCUGGAAAAAUUAACUUUUGAAUUACAUACCAACUUCGGCUUUUGUUAAAGGCUAUCCACGCCACACGUUCUGUAAUAAUCGAUUUUACAACAUCAAAGCUGCUACUGUGAUCGGCUAUCAAAGUUCUUUGCGAUAUAUUUUUCUGUCAAAAUCAAAAACCCGGUCAGUUCGUUCAACCUGAAUUUGAAUUCUUUGUGUCUUGCAAUUGAGAUAUUCAGAUUCUGUAAACCAUCAGCAAGUUCUACCCACGUGUAAAGGAGUUACUGCAUUUUCUCGGAAUGUAGGUUCAGGUGCUAAGUUCCAGGUUUGACAGUGAUUUUU